CCUGACGCUACGUACUGGCUCAGCCCUGCACAAUAUAGACUGGGCGUGGCUUGGCGUUGCCCCGUCCUCUUUUCUGCCUGAUGACCUUUUGACAGGAGUGUCGGUUGCUAGGAGACCAGAGCGCAGGGCUUUCCUGUGUGUACCUGAAUACUGUAUUGGGAGCCACUAUAAGGACCCGAGAAAGGCAACUACUACAGGCUCAUCUACCUAAGGAUAUGUUCCAAAAUGCAAACAGCAGUUUCCUGCUAUGGGACUGGACAAAUCCCAGGCGCCAGUACACCUAGACAUCCACUGAGGAUAUCUACAUUUUUGGGUCAGUGUUCAAUUCUAUUUUUCAUUCCCAAUCUUCAUUAUCAUUUUUUACUGAUAUCCUCAGAGAUCUAUUAGAUUUAGCUGGUAAUGUUUUAUAAUAUUCUAUUCUAUAACAUGAUUGUAUUGUACCUUGUAUUUGUGUUUUUUCAAUUGCAUUCUAUCAUAUUAAGUAUACAACUCCUAAUCCUAACGAACAGGAUCCAUGACAUGUAUUUUAACCACCAACAAUAGUGUGCCAAUUAAAAUGGCAGAAUAUUAAAGACCACCAUGACAGUCAUAUUAAGCCAUUGAUAAAGGGGAACGGAAUGCGUCUGGCCAUACUGGCAUAUUAUUUUUACUGCCACAUAUUUCCACCUUAUUGGCUCUGCAUAACUAUAUGCUUAUCUUCUCACAAACGUUGCAACCUCUGCAACUGAGGACCACUGCAACAUACGUUACGUGCCUGAAACUAUAACUGCCGCACAAGGACGCCGAACAGAAAGUUUGAACACGCUACUCCCACUGCCCGGUCUCCGUGACAUCGAGCCGGAUGCAGAUCCGUGCCACCUUGCAGCGAGGUUAGUCGGCAUCUCCUCGCAGACUGCAAAGUUAGCAUACUCCAGCGAUACCUACUCACAACUACGAGCUGCGCUAUUUAUCUGGGCAACAGGUAAUAUUUACCCAGAGGCCGGGUGCAGCCCCUGCCAACCUGUGGGGAAGACCUACUACCAAGGUGCAUGUUCUACUAACUGGAUUUUAUUAAAUGGAUUCAAUGGGAUUUUGAACUAUUAGAUACCAGUCUUUUAUUUAAAAUAAAAACACACACUUUUUAGAUAAACCUGCUUCUCUG